AAACCUAUUGGCCCCGCCUCCUUCCCUUUAAGUAACCGGUAUGCUAACGCCUUACUAAGACCAGGAUCGUUAAGUGGAUUUCUGUCCAACCGGCCUCAAUGGGGGUGCGAACCCGCCCAAAUGCCCCCGGGAGGCAGCUUUUAUGCAUUUUUCGGCAAUUGAAGAAACUCCUACCCGCGCCACCCCGCGUGAACGAUGAAGUAUUUAGGUACGUAAAGUUCUUUUAUUAAUGAAGAAAGAAUGAUGGAAAAAUCAUUCUGACGGUAUUUAAUGAAUAAGCCCCGGCUAACUAUGUGCCAGCAGCUGCGGUAAUACAUGGGGGGCAAGCGUUAUCCGGAUUUAUUGCGCGUAAAGGGUGCGUAGGCGGUUUAAUAAGUCUAUGGUCUAAGUUCAACGCUUAACGUUGUGAUGCUAUAGAAACUGUUUGACUAGAGUUGGAUAGAGGCAAGUGGAAUUCCAUGUGUAGCGGUAAAAUGCGUAAAGAUAUGGAGGAACACCAGUAGCGAAGGCGGCUUGCUGGGUCUUAACUGACGCUGAGGCACGAAAGCGUGGGGAGCAAACAGGAUUAGAUACCCUGGUAGUCCACGCCGUAAACGAUGAGUACUAAGUGUUGGGUUAAACCAGUGCUGAAGUUAACGCAUUAAGUACUCCGCCUGAGUAGUACGUACGCAAGUAUGAAACUUAAAGGAAUUGACGGGACUCCGCACAAGCGGUGGAUCAUGUUGUUUAAUUCGAAGAUACACGAAAAACCUUACCAGGUCUUGACAUACUCUGCAAAGCUAUAGAAAUAUAGUGGAGGUUAUCAGGGAUACAGGUGGUGCAUGGUUGUCGUCAGCUCGUGUCGUGAGAUGUUGGGUUAAGUCCCGCAACGAGCGCAACCCUUAUCGCUAGUUACCAUCAUUUAGUUGGGCACUUUAGUGAGACUGCCAAUGAUAAAUUGGAGGAAGGUGGGGAUUACGUCAAAUCAUCAUGCCCCUUAUGACCUGGGCUACAAACGUGAUACAAUGGCUGUUACAAAGAGUAGCUGAAGCGUGAGUUUUAGCAAAUCUCAAAAAACAGUCUCAGUUCGGAUUGAAUCUGCAAUCGACUUCAUGAGUCGGAAUCGCUAGUAAUA
rnacentral:rRNA from 1 species